UCCAUCGCGAGGUGGAAUCUGAAGGAAGUCUAAGGCAAAUCUCUGGUCCGACGAACAGAAAUCACAUAAAAGGCGACACUUGAGGGUAAGGCUGCAAAAGAAGUUGAAGCCCAAUAGUUACUGACAUAAUCAAGUGGUGUAAAUGUGGCGGAUAGAUAGAGAGGAAGAGUUUGUA
rfam:Erysipelothrix larvae strain LV19 chromosome, complete genome.